UACAGAGGUCCCAAGCGUUGUUCGGAUUCACUGGGCUUAAAGGGCGCGUAGGCGGCUCGCGAGGUCGGGGGUGAAAUCCCGCAGCUUAACUGCGGAAGGGCCUCCGAUACCGGCGGGCUGGAGGAAGGUAGGGGUGCGCGGAACUUCUGGUGGAGCGGUGAAAUGCGUUGAUAUCAGAAGGAACGCCGGCGGCGAAAGCGGACGGCACUGGACCUUUUCUGACGCUGAGGCGGCGAAAAGCUAGGGGAGCAAACGGGG
rnacentral:rRNA from 1 species